AGAGUUUGAUCCUGGCUCAGGAUGAACGCUAGCGACAGGCUUAACACAUGCAAGUCGAGGGGCAGCAUGAUUUGUAGCAAUACAGAUUGAUGGCGACCGACGCACGGGUGAGUAACGCGUAUGCAACUUACCUAUCAGAGGGGGAUAGCCCGGCGAAAGUCGGAUUAAUACCCCAUAAAACAGGGGUCCCGCAUGGGAAUAUUUGUUAAAGAUUCAUCGCUGAUAGAUAGGCAUGCGUUUCAUUAGGCAGUUGGCGGGGUAACGGCCCACCAAACCGACGAUGGAUAGGGGUUCUGAGAGGAAGGUCCCCCACAUUGGUACUGAGACACGGACCAAACUCCUACGGGAAGCAGCA
rnacentral:rRNA from 1 species